CAGCAGGCGCGAAAACUUUACAAUGCGGGAAACCGCGAUAAGGGGAUACUGAGUGCCAGCAUAUUAUGUUGGCUGUCCAUAUGUAUAAAUAGCAUGUGUUAGCAAGGGCCGGGCAAGACCGGUGCCAGCCGCCGCGGUAACACCGGCGGCCCGAGUGGUGGCCACUAUUAUUGGGUCUAAAGGGUCCGUAGCCGGUUUGAUCAGUCUUCCGGGAAAUCUGACAGCUCAACUGUUAGGCUUCUGGGGGAUACUGUCAGACUUGGGACCGGGAGAGGUAAGAGGUACUACAGGGGUAGGAGUGAAAUCUUGUAAUCCUUGUGGGACCACCAGUGGCGAAGGCGUCUUACCAGAACGGGUCCGACGGUGAGGGACGAAAGCUGGGGGCACGAACCGGAUUAGAUACCCGGGUAGUCCCAGCCGUAAACGAUGCUCGCUAGGUGUCUGGGACGGUGCGACCGUUUCAGGUGCCGCAGGGAAGCCGUGAAGCGAGC
rnacentral:rRNA from 1 species